rnacentral:rRNA from 1 species
GGAGUUAGCCGGUGCUUCUUCUGUGAGUGAUGUCCUUCCUGCCGGUUAUUGACCCGCAGGCCUUCUUCCUCACUGAAAGUGCUUUACAACCCGAAGGCCUUCUUCACACACGCGGCAUGGCUGGAUCAGGGUUGCCCCCAUUGUCCAAUAUUCCCCACUGCUGCCUCCCGUAGGAGUCUGGGCCGUGUCUCAGUCCCAGUGUGGCUGAUCAUCCUCUCAGACCAGCUACGGAUCGUCGCCUUGGUGAUCCGUUACCUCACCAACCAGCUAAUCCGACAUAGGCUCAUCCGAUAGCGCGAGGCCCGAAGGUCCCCCGNUUUCCCCCGUAGGGCGUAUGCGGUAUUAGCCUGGGUUUCCCCAGGUUAUCCCCCACUACCGGGCAGAUUCCUAUGCAUUACUCACCCGUCCGCCGCUCGCCACCAGGGAGCAAGCUCCCCGUGCUGCCGCUCGACUUGCAUGUGUAGCGUCGCCGCCACGCGUCAUCUGAGCCAUAAUACAACUACUGA